rnacentral:rRNA from 1 species
UGGUUUGUUUGAGGUUCUAACCUUGGCCCGUGAAUCCGGGUCGGGGACAGUGCAUGGUAGGCAGUUUGACUGGGGCGGUCUCCUCCCAAAGUGUAACGGAGGAGUUCGAAGGUACGCUUGGUACGGUCGGACAUCGUACCUAAAGUGCAAUGGCAAAAGCGUGCUUAACUGCGAGACCGACAAGUCGAGCAGGUGCGAAAGCAGGACAUAGUGAUCCGGUGGUUCUGUAUGGAAGGGCCAUCGCUCAACGGAUAAAAGGUACUCUAGGGAUAAC